GCCUGCCUACGGGGGGCAGCAGUGAGGGAUAUUGGUCAAUGGGGGAACCCCUGAACCAGCAACGCCGCGUGAGGGAAGACGGUUUUCGGAUUGUAAACCUCUGUCCUCUGUGAAGAUAAUGACGGUAGCAGAGGAGGAAGCUCCGGCUAACUACGUGCCAGCAGCCGCGGUAAUACGUAGGGAGCGAGCGUUGUCCGGAUUUACUGGGUGUAAAGGGUGCGUAGGCGGGUAAGCAAGUCAGAAGUGAAAUCCAUGGGCUUAACCCAUGAACUGCUUUUGAAACUGUUUAUCUUGAGGGAAGGAGG
rnacentral:rRNA from 1 species